CAGCAGCCACGGUAAAACGGAGGGUGCUAGCGUUGUUCGGAAUCACUGGGCGUAAAGGGCGCGUAGGCGGCCUGUUAAGUCGGAUGUGAAAGCCCGGGGCUCAACCCCGGAACUGCAUCCGAGACUGGCAGGCUUGAGACCGGGAGAGGAGGGUGGAAUAUCCAGUGUAGAGGUGAAAUUCGUAGAUAUUGGAUGGAACACCGGUGGCGAAAGCGGCUCUCUGGCCCGGAUCUGACGCUGAGGCGCGAAAGCGUGGGGAGCAAACAGGAUUAGAUACCCCUGUAGUCCCUGUCUCUUAUAA
rnacentral:rRNA from 1 species